CACGGACCAAAGAAGAGUUUGUCUCUUUGAACGUUGUCGCCUCGUCAGUACCGAUUCAUCCGUGAAGAUGUUGGCUGUCUCGGAUGCGACGUCACAACGGAGACGCCGUGUGUUCACAAACUAUUCCUCCGCUCCGUUUCCAAAAGCUUUGUUUCUGUGCUGAUUACUCAUCAUGUCCGUGUAGCACAACUUUAAGCUCUUACCCAUAAUUCCCGGACUUUCCGGAGGUGUGGGCACCGUGCUUCACGAGGCGGCAUCGGGACCCAAAUUGCGAAUGAGCGCAUCGACUCCUACAGAUGAGGAAAAACUCAACCCCCCUCCCGAAAGAACCCUUUCAGGGGACAAAAGGGAAGACGCCUUCAGGAGAGCAACAGGAGGAUCCCUCUCCAGGACGGACAGAGGAGUAGAUGUCAUGUGACCAGCAUGACGUGUUACAGAGUUGCAUAACCACGUUCCACCAGUACCACGGCGCGUGUGAAGAGUUAGUCGGAGGCCUUGACCACGAUCCAGAAAGCGGAAAUAAAUUAUGUGAAAUGUGUAUUUUUUCCUCUUCCUCGUGAACCCGAUUGACCUCGUUUCCAGAUGCUAUUUGCACAAUUAUGUCUGCCAUUUUUAAUGUGUGGUUUCAGAAGUAUCUGCAGUCUAUUUUUCUUUCUUUGCUGUUAUAAAACAAACAUACCGUUUUGUAUUUCGA